AACGAACGCUGGCGGCAUGCCUAACACAUGCAAGUCGAACGAGACCUUCGGGUCUAGUGGCGCACGGGUGCGUAACGCGUGGUAACCUGCCCUUAGGUUCGGAAUAACUCCCCGAAAGGGGUGCUAAUACCGGAUAAUGUCUUCGGACCUAAGAUUUAUCGCCUUUGGAUGGGCCCGCGUUGGAUUAGCUAGUUGGUAGGGUAAAAGCCUACCAAGGCGACGAUCCAUAGCUGGUCUGAGAGGAUGAUCAGCCACACUGGGACUGAGACACGGCCCAGACUCCUACGGGAGGCAGCAGUGGGGAAUAUUGGACACUGGGCGAAGGCCUGAUCCAGCAAUGCCGCGUGAGUGAUGAAGGCCUUAGGGUUGUAAAGCUCUUUUACCCGGGAUGAUAAUGACAGUACCGGGAGAAUAAGCUCCGGCUAACUCCGUG
rnacentral:rRNA from 1 species